GAGCCGCGGCCUUUCCUGUGAAGGGAGCCGCCCACGGGAGAGCGGGGAAAGCGUCAGAGGGCGUUUGGUUCCUACGCUUUGAACAAUAACAAAGGCUGAAGAAAAAUAAAAGCGGCUGUGUGCCAGCCCAGGGUGGAACAGCACUGCGCAAGGCUGCUUCCCCUUCGAAGAACAAAGUGCGUGUGUUGUGGAGCGGCGUUAAAAAAACCCCACCCGAGACUUAAAACUCCAGAUGGACGCAAAAAGAGAGACAAACCCCAAAGCAAUUACUGUCCCACGUUCAGCUUUUAUUAGGUUAAGCGUUCGUAGAGGAACACUGCAAAUAAGCGUUCCUGGAAGAAAAUACAGAGCAGCGCCUGCUGCCGCUGCAGGCGUGAAUACAGUUGCUGUUACGACAACCUUUGGUUUAACAAAUUGUGGCCUCCACAUGCAAAAUUCUGUGGAUCUUCCUCAUUGCAGGGUUUGCAAAUAAAACGUUCUUCAUCAGGCGGCAGCAGGACCCACCGGUCCCUCUGAAACAGCAUCUGUACUGUGCGCAGGUUGAACUCUGCUAGAUCCUUACAGUGAUGAAUGGGAGCAGAAAGAGCUUGAACUGAGUCUAUGUUUGCAGGCCGGUACAGGAGGGUCCCAGCUGAAGUCCUCUUGGCACUGAACCUGACUGAUGCCUUCCAACGUGUAACCGUCAUCACAUUCAAGGGUGAUGUUCGUCCCAGAGCGGAGUGAAAAAUGCUUUUGCCGGGCUACUGAGAGACCCAUGGACGAUACCUGCAGGCUUGGAACAGUGCAGCUCU